rnacentral:misc_RNA from 1 species
AACAAGGCGUACCUGCGGACCUGCGGAGGGAUCAUUAUAGAAUUUAAUUUUUUUUACUCCUUAAGGGGGGUUUAAAAAAAAAUUCCAAACCCUUUUGUUUUAAAAACCUUUGUUGCUUUGGUAAGGAGAGGGAUGAAGGGGGGGGGAGGGUUUUUCCCUUUUCUCCUCUUCCCCCUUACCAAAGGAAAUUUUAAAAACUCUGAUUUUUUUAACUGUCUGAAAAUUUUUUAAAAUGAAAUA